CACCUCUCAGGGUCUCGCCUGGAGAGUUUCCAGUACUCUACCAGACUACGGGAGGGAGAGUCAAGCAGAGGCCUAUCCAUUCCAUUCCUAGCUUGGCCAGUGGCUAGCCAGUGGAAGGCCAUCUGCUACAUGU